rnacentral:rRNA from 1 species
UGAUGGCCUACCAAGGCGACGACGGGUAGCCGGCCUGAGAGGGCGACCGGCCACACUGGGACUGAGACACGGCCCAGACUCCUACGGGAGGCAGCAGUGGGGAAUAUUGCGCAAUGGGCGGAAGCCUGACGCAGCGACGCCGCGUGGGGGAUGAAGGCCUUCGGGUUGUAAACCUCCUUCAGCAGGGACGAAGCGGGAGUGACGGUACCUGCAGAAGAAGCACCGGCCAACUACGUGCCAGCAGCCGCGGUAAUACGUAGGGUGCAAGCGUUGUCCGGAAUUAUUGGGCGUAAAGAGCUCGUAGGCGGUCUGUCGCGUCGGCUGUGAAAUCUCGGGGCUCAACUCCGAGCCUGCAGUCGAUACGGGCAGACUUGAGUGCUGUAGGGGAGACUGGAAUUCCUGGUGUAGCGGUGAAAUGCGCAGAUAUCAGGAGGAACACCGGUGGCGAAGGCGGGUCUCUGGGCAGUGACUGACGCUGAGGAGCGAAAGCGUGGGGAGCGAACAGGAUUAGAUACCCUGGUAGUCCACGCCGUAAACGGUGGGUGCUAGGUGUAGGCGGUAUUCCACGCCGUCUGUGCCGCAGCUAACGCAUUAAGCA